UAGUCCACGCCCUAAACUAUGUUAACUCGUUAUUGGCGAUAUUACUGUCAGUAACCUAGCGAAAGCGUUAAGUUAACCACCUGGGGAGUACGUUCGCAAGAAUGAAACUCAAAGGAAUUGACAGGGGUCCGCACAAGCGGUGGAGCAUGUGGUUUAAUUCGAUGAUACGCGAGGAACCUUACCUAGCCUAGAAUGUUUUUUGACCGACCCAGAAACGGGUCUUUUCUUCGGACUACGUACAAGGUGCUGCAUGGUUGUCGUCAGCUCGUGCCGUGAGGUGUCGGGUUAAGUCCCAUAACGAGCGCAACCCCUAUCCUUAGUUGCCAGCGGAUUAUGCCGGGGACUCUGAGGAGACUGCCACCGUAAGGUGUGAGGAAGGUGGGGAUGACGUCAAAUCAGCACGGCCCUUAUGUCCAGGGCUACACACGUGUUACAAUGGACGGUACAAAGGGCAGCUACCUGGCGACAGGAUGCUAAUCUCUAAAGCCGUUCUCAGUUCGGAUCGAAGUCUGCAACCCGACUUCGUGAAG
rnacentral:rRNA from 1 species